UCUGUACAACCUGUUGCAACUGUCCGAUUUCACGUCAGCGCUGUGGGUAUCCGAUUUGCGAUUCCUGCCCGAUCUGCGUACCCAUGCGCCACACCAGCUACCUAGUGUGCAGUGAAGUUAUGGUUACAGCAGGAAAAAUGCGCGGUCAGACUUUUUUCCAAAAUCUUACAAACUAUCUCUUAGGUAGAAAAUUGGUCGGUGAAAUCUCACCAAGGGAUACGGGCGAACUGUGCCGUGUAUCUCCAAACUAUACAAUCAAAGGCAUGGCCAGAGAUUUGCUUACUGGAGUGAAGAAGCUGUGAAAUUACUCCAGGGCAACCUUCAGCCUCUUUAUAGGUUGUCAAGGACAAUCUCUACCAAAGUCCCACCAUACAUGCAAGCAGUUGUUUGUCAUACUGCAGAAGAGAAGAAGCUCGUGGACUUCAUUGCAAACAGUGAGGCAAACAAAGAGCAUUUCUUGUUCUAAAAAGAAGAUUCUCAGCUGCAAUACACCGUCAAAGUGGCUGAGCAGGUUCCAGAGAAGUUCCACGUUCAGGAUGCCUGUUGAUAAGAGAUGCUUGCGCAACUUUAACCCUAUUAUUGAGAAAUCAAAGAAAAAACUCCAAAGAGAUCUUUCACUGAAAAAGAGAGUUCUAUUAACAAAAGGAGAGGGUUAUCUGAGGUUAAACUAUGCAGCCGUAUUCUUACAUGUUGAAAAUCAAAUUAGAAAAUUGAUAUAUGAGAUGCUAUUUUAUUCUAUAGAAGUAUUCCAGCGAGUGCGACGUGGAGGUCAUGUUGACAGAAAUUGAGAAAAGGAACGUGAUAUUAUUUGGUGGUUUAAGCAGUGGCAUCAGCAAUAAACGAAAGUUGAUGGAGUGGCAGAGUGUGGCGGAGUCAGUUAAAAGUUGGUUCCGAAAUGCACACGGUAGCCGAAAUUUAUAAGAAGUAGUUGGACAUUAAAGUCGACGUGAAAAAACAAGUGGCCGCUCACCGUAAGAGUCUUAGCAGCACAGGUGAAGGUAGCGUAAUUCCCUGUCUCCCUUAGAAUCCCCCUUUGAGCAACGAGUUGCUGCAAUGACUGGGGACACAUUUUUAUCAGGUGAGGGGGACUCCGAAGUCAGCAUGGGUGGGUUUUUCUCAUACCAAACUUGUUUGAAUUACUUGCAUGUUUAUGAAUAACAAGUAGGGCGCAGAUGCGGUGUUACUUGUGUUUAUUGUUUGUUUCUUCUUACAGACAAUAGUACAAGAGGUGCCCCCAGUGCCAAGGACGACACAGGCGGCGAUGGUACUGCUGUGCCGAGCACAUCUUUGGGCGCUGGCUGCACACAUUCCCGUGCCUCGGAAACCGGGGGGGCGACCGUCCGGCCGCGUGCUGACUGAAGCUGUGCUGCAUCACAAAAUGCAAUAGCACAUGCUGUAAGAGAUGUUGCCAAUGAAGGAAAACAUCUAAUUGAUACGGUGUGAUAUUAACAACACAUUAAAAAAAUAAUAAUAAAAAAUUAAA